CCGAAAACCCAAGGUUUCCUCCGCAAGGUUCGUCCACGGAGGGUGAGUCAGGGCCUAAGAUCAGGCCGAAAGGCGUAGUCGAUGGACAACAGGUCAAUAUUCCUGUACUACCCCUUGUUGGUACGGAGGGACGGAGGAGGCUAGGUUCGCCGAAAGAUGGUUAUAGG
rnacentral:ncRNA from 1 species